rnacentral:rRNA from 1 species
UGGGGGAUAUUGCACAAUGGGCGAAAGCCUGAUGCAGCGACGCCGCGUGGGGGAUGAAGGCUUUCGGGUUGUAAACCUCUUUCGCUAUCGAACAAGGCCCGCUUAGGGUGGGUUGAGGGUAGGUGGAGAAGAAGCGCCGGCUAACUACGUGCCAGCAGCCGCGGUAAUACGUAGGGCGCGAGCGUUGUCCGGAAUUUUUUGGCGUAAAGGACUUGUAGGCAGCUUGUUGCGCCUGCUGUGAUAACGCGGGGCUUAACUUCGCGCGUGCAGUGGGUACGGGCGGGCUUGGGUGUGGUAGGCGUGACUGGAAUUCCAGGUGUAGCGGUGGAAUGCGCAGAUAUCUGGAGGAACACCGAUGUCGAAGGCAGGUCACUGAGCCAUUACUGACGCUGAGGAGCGAAAGCAUGGGUAGCGAACAGG